UACGGAGGGUGCGAGCGUUGUCCGGAAUCAUUGGGCGUAAAGGGCGCGUAGGUGGCCCAGUAAGCGUGCGGUGAAAGCUCGGGGCUCAACCCCGAGUCGGCCGUGCGAACUACUGGGCUGGAGCACUGUAGAGGCAGGCGGAAUUCCGGGUGUAGCGGUGGAAUGCGUAGAGAUCCGGAAGAACACCGGUGGCGAAGGCGGGCCUGCUGGGC
rnacentral:rRNA from 1 species